rnacentral:rRNA from 1 species
ACGUAGGGGGCAAGCGUUAUCCGGAUUUACUGGGUGUAAAGGGAGCGUAGACGGUGAUGUAAGUCAGAUGUGAAAGCCCGGGGCUCAACCCCGGGACUGCAUUUGAAACUAUGUUGCUAGAGUGCAGGAGAGGUAAGUGGAAUUCCUAGUGUAGCGGUGAAAUGCGUAGAUAUUAGGAGGAACACCAGUGGCGAAGGCGGCUUACUGGACUGUAACUGACGUUGAGGCUCGAAAGCGUGGGGAGCAAACAGG